UGAGGAGACUCUGAUUCUGGGG
rnacentral:misc_RNA from 1 species